UUUUAACCCUGAUGGAAGUGAUAGCUUUCUAAAAUUAAUUUUAGAAACUAAAACGAACAGCAGGUACAAGG
rnacentral:sRNA from 1 species